UGGAUCUCCCAAUUUCCGGCAAACCAAAGCCUCCAUUUUUGCUAUCUCUGAUAACUCUCUCUCUCUCUCUCUCUCUCUCUCUCUUUCUC
rnacentral:sRNA from 1 species